rnacentral:misc_RNA from 1 species
CGCACAUUGCGCCCCCUGGUAUUCCGGAGGGCAUGCCUGUUCGAGCGUGAUUUAAGACCACUCAAGCACCGCUUGGCUAUUGGGCGCUUCGUCCUGACAAUUAAAGACUGGACGCGCCUUAAACAUCUCAGCGUGGCACUUGUUCACUGGCGUAGUAGUUUCAAAUCAACGUCUGCGUGAAUCCAAGUGUUUACCGCUUCGAAACGGGUGUAACAACCCUAAUUUUCAAUGGUUUACCUCGAAUCAGGUAGGGAUACCCGCUGAACUUAA